rnacentral:rRNA from 1 species
GGCUUAGAGUUUGAUCAUGGCUCAGGACGAACGCUGGCGGCGCGCCUAACACAUGCAAGUCGAACGGAGUUGAGAGGAGCUUGCUUUUCUUGACUUAGUGGCGAACGGGUGAGUAACGCGUGAGGAACCUGCCUCAGAGAGGGGGACAACAGUUGGAAACGACUGCUAAUACCGCAUAAGCCCACGGUCUCGCAUGGGACAGAGGGAAAAGGAGCAAUCCGCUUUGAGAUGGCCUCGCGUCCGAUUAGCUAGUUGGUGAGGUAACGGCCCACCAAGGCGACAAUCGGUAGCCGGACUGAGAGGUUGAACGGCCACAUUGGGACUGAGACACGGCCCAGACUCCUACGGGAGGCAGCAGUGGGGAAUAUUGCACAAUGGGGGAAACCCUGAUGCAGCGACGCCGCGUGGAGGAAGAAGGUCUUCGGAUUGUAAACUCCUGUUGUUGGGGAAAAAGAGGAUGGUACCCAACAAGGAAGUGACGGCUAACUACGUGCCAGCAGCCGCGGUAAAACGUAGGUCACGAGCGUUGUCCGGAAUUACUGGGUGUAAAGGGAGCGCAGGCGGGUAUGCAAGUUGGGAGUGAAAUACAUGGGCUCAACCCAUGAACUGCUCUCAAAACUGUGUAUCUUGAGUAGUGCAGAGGUAGGCG